GACGAACCGUGCGAACGUUAUUCGGAAUCACUGGGCUUAAAGGGCGCGUAGGCGGGCCACCAAGUCAGGGGUGAAAUCCCACGGCUCAACCGUGGAAGUGCCUCUGAUACUUGUGGCCUCGAGGGGUGCAGGGGCGUGCGGAACUCAGGGUGGAGCGGUGAAAUGCGUAGAUAUCUGGAGGAACACCGGUGGCGAAGGCGGCGUCCUGGACCAACACUGACACUGAGGAGCGAAAGCCAGGGGAGCAAACGGG
rnacentral:rRNA from 1 species